CCAGAGGAGCCAACAACUGCACCCAACAACAAAAAAUAAAAAACAUUUAGAAAUUUUUAUUUUUUUUAGAGAGACAAAGUGUUUCUCUCUCUAUAAAAACGAGGUCAGUCAGUCUACUCAACUAAAUAUAUAAAAUCACUGCCACUCUCUCUCUCUCUGUUUACUCUCUCUCUCUCUCUCUCUCUCUCUCUCUCUCUCUCUCUCACACUGCUUCUCUCUUCUUUUUGUUUAUUUUUCGUUUUUUAAAUGGUGCUAUUUGGGUUGUUGAGCUUUGCCGGAAAAUCGUGUAGCAGACAAUUUUCUCGGUAGCCAAACAGCGGAAGCGAGUCAAAUGUGAUGGGAAGUGGAGUCUCGAGCCUCUCCUCUUGCUUCCGGCCGGUUCACCGGACCAACCACCACCACCCAGACCACAACGACGUCGUCUUCGCGGCCUCUGAGCCGUUGGACGAAACCCUAGGCCACUCUUUCUGCUACGUCCGCUCCUCAGCUCGCUUCCUCUCACCUACUCAGUCGGAUCGCUUCAUUUCCCCUUCCAACUCGCUCCGGUUCUCUCCCUCUCACGAGCCAGGCGCGAGGACCCGACCCGGCCUGCACGAGACCGGGUUCAAAGCCAUAUCUGGGGCUUCCGUGAGUGCUAAUAGCUCCACUCCCAGAACUGUCCUCCAGCUUGACAAUAUUUACGACGAUGCCACUGACAGUGUUCUCGGUGGUUUCGGAGGUGGAGUCCGGGGGAGCAUAGUCAAUGGUUUCGAGAGUACGUCGUCGUUUAGCGCCUUGCCUCUUCAGCCCGUGCCACGUGGCGGCGAGCGCGACCCCUCGGGCCCAAUGGAGCGGGCUGGGUUCUUCCUCUCCGGCCCAAUAGAGCGCGGCGCCCUCUCCGGUCCGCUCGACCCGAACCCGAACGCGCAUGGACCGGACGGCCAGGUUCACUUCUCGGCGCCGCUCGGCGGCCUAUACGUGAAAAGGAGGCGGAAGAAGGGCAUUUCGGGGAUUCGGAAGGCGUUGUACCGGAACUUCUCGGAGAAGAAGCAGCGGCCCUGGGUGGUUCCGGUGCUCAAUUUCGUUGGACGGAAGGAGGGCCCACCGCCGCCUGGCGACGAGGCGGAGCCCAAGAGCGAGACAAAUGUCCAGUGGGCUCUUGGAAAAGCGGGGGAGGAUCGCGUACAUGUGGUUGUAUCGGAAGAACAAGGUUGGUUGUUUGUUGGGAUUUACGAUGGGUUUAACGGACCUGAUGCGCCGGAAUUUUUGAUGGGCAAUCUCUACCGUGCAUUUUACAAUGAGCUUCAGGGAUUGUUUUGGGAGGUUGAUGAAGAUGAUCAAGCCCCAGGAACCGAAGAAGCCAAUAACACGAACCCACCAAAUGUAGCUACAGAGAGUGAAGUUGUUGUAGAUGUUAAAAUUGAUGGAAAUGAUUCGAAUUCGAACCCCUUGGCUGAAGCUGAUCGGACAAAGAGAGUGACCUUUCAAUCGGAGGGUAGGAGGCGGCGGCUUUGGGAAUUGCUAGCUGAGGCUGAGGCUGAAGACGGGCUUGACCUUUCGGGUUCUGAGAGGUUUGCGUUUUCUGUCGAUGACGCACUUACAGUGAGCAAUGAGGGUUCUGGUUCUGCAGUUAGUAGACGCUGGCUUUUGCUGUCAAAAUUGAAACAGGGAUUGUCCAAGCACAAAGAGGGUCAGGGUCAUGGUAGGAAGUUGUUUCCAUGGAGGUUUGGUUUGGAGGAUAAAGAGGAGGUUGAGGUUGAGAAUACAGUGGAGGAGAGGUCUGCUCCAACUGGUAGGAGGAGGAAGGAGGGUCCGGUGGAUCACGAAUUGGUAUUGAGUGCAUUGUCAAGGGCUUUACAAGUGACUGAGAAUGCUUAUUUGGAGAUGACUGAUAAGGUUCUUGAUACGAAUCCGGAACUUGCUUUGAUGGGGUCGUGUUUGUUGGUUGUGCUAAUGAGGGAUGAGGAUGUGUAUGUGAUGAAUUUAGGGGAUAGUCGGGCAAUUGUUGCUCAUUAUGAGCCUGAAGAAGGUGGUUCAAGCAUGGAAUCAAGAGGGCACAAGGAUAAUGGGUUGAGCGCUGAGGAUAUAACUGAGUCGUCCUCGGCUGUGGCCAAUGAGGCUCCUACUCAGGCAAUGAAAUUAACCGCACUGCAGCUGUCCACCGACCACAGCACGAGCAUUGAAGAAGAAGUAAUAAGAAUCAAGAAUGAACACCCAGAUGACAAACAUUGUAUUGUCAAUGAUAGAGUGAAAGGUCGUCUUAAAGUUACCAGAGCAUUUGGGCAGGAUUUCUGAACAGCCCAAAUGGAAUGACACAUUGUUGGAAAUGUUUCGAAAUGAGUACAUUGGUACCACACCAUACAUAUCAUGUUUGCCUUCUCUCCGUCACCAUAGACUCUGUCCUAGUGAUCAGUUCUUAAUCCUCUCGUCUGAUGGUUUGUAUCAGUAUUUUAGCAAUCAGGAAGUAGUUUCUCAUGUUGAAAAUUUUAUGGAGAAGUUCCCAGAUGGAGACCCUGCACAACACCUGAUAGAGGAGCUUCUUUUCCGUGCUGCAAAGAAAGCUGGAAUGGAUUUCCAUGAAUUACUGGACAUCCCACAAGGAGACCGCAGGAAGUACCAUGACGAUGUCACCGUUAUGGUUAUAUCGCUUGAAGGAAGAAUUUGGAAGUCAUCAGGAAAGUACCUUUGACAACUUUAUACACAGGCAGUAUUCUCUAUAAAAAGGGGACAUUGCAAUUUCAAUUUUCAGCUAGAGAUAUUCUUCAAGCAGUAUGGAAAGCUUUGCUGCUGACAGUUCCAUGGGUCCAUUAGGUUUUUGUUCUCUCACAGCAUAAGCAUACAACUAAUACGGAUGGUAAUGGCAAAAUGCUGAUGUUAGAUAUCAUCCAAUACUUAAUAGAUGCAAAAAUAUUGGGUUCAGGACAAAAUGAGAUUUUGCAGAUGUGAGGUUGUUGGGGGAAAUGCUCUUUAGGGGAAAGAAAUCUUUUCUUUUUGUCCCUUUUCUUUUAGACUUCUUCAUUUUUUGUUUAAAGAAAAAAAAAUAGAAAAUUUGCAUAGGUGGAGGCUCUUCGAUUUCAUCUGUGCCUCUCUUUUCUUCUUUUCCAGAGCGGAAAAUGUGUUUGUAAAUUGGUUGGGGUACAGAUUUACUUACUGAAAACUUUGAGCAUUCCCUUGUCAAUACUGAGCAUCUGUAAUUUUGAAGGUGGGUUUUCCACCAUUGCGGAUAACAAGAGUUCAAAAUUUUACCAA